rnacentral:rRNA from 1 species
GAUGAACGCUGGCGGCGUGCCUAAUACAUGCAAGUCGAGCGAACAGACGAGGAGUUUGCUCCUCUGACGUUAGCGGCGGACGGGUGAGUAACACGUGGAUAACCUACCUAUAAGACUGGGAUAACUUCGGGAAACCGGAGCUAAUACCGGAUAAUAUAUUGAACCGCAUGGUUCAAUAGUGAAAGACGGUUUUGCUGUCACUUAUAGAUGGAUCCGCGCCGCAUUAGUUAGUUGGUAAGGUAACGGCUUACCAAGGCGACGAUGCGUAGCCGACCUGAGAGGGUGAUCGGCCACACUGGAACUGAGACACGGUCCAGACUCCUACGGGAGGCAGCAGUAGGGAAUCUUCCGCAAUGGGCGAAAGCCUGACGGAGCAACGCCGCGUGAGUGAUGAAGGUCUUCGGAUCGUAAAACUCUGUUAUUAGGGAAGAACAAAUGUGUAAGUAACUAUGCACGUCUUGACGGUACCUAAUCAGAAAGCCACGGCUAACUACGUG